CCUACGGGGGGCAGCAGUGGGGAAUAUUGGACAAUGGGCGAAAGCCUGAUCCAGCCAUGCCGCGUGUGUGAAGAAGGUCUUCGGAUUGUAAAGCACUUUAAGUUGGGAGGAAGGGCAGUAAAUUAAUACUUUGCUGUUUUGACGUUACCGACAGAAUAAGCACCGGCUAACUCUGUGCCAGCAGCCGCGGUAAUACAGAGGGUGCAAGCGUUAAUCGGAAUUACUGGGCGUAAAGCGCGCGUAGGUGGUUCGUUAAGUUGGAUGUGAAAUCCCCGGGCUCAACCUGGGAACUGCAUUCAAAACUGACGAGCUAGAGUAUGGUAGAGGGUGGUGGAAUUUCCUGUGUAGCGGUGAAAUGCGUAGAUAUAGGAAGGAACACCAGUGGCGAAGGCGACCACCUGGACUGAUACUGACACUGAGGUGCGAAAGCGUGGGGAGCAAACAGGAUUAGAUACCCCCGUAGUC
rnacentral:rRNA from 1 species